GCUGCCAGCAGCUGCCCAGAGAUGGCCCCUAGGCUGUGAGCAAGAAACGGACAGGACACCUGAAGUCCCCACACUGCAGACCAGAGAGGGCCAAGGGAAGUGUCAUUCCAGCAGCGAGAUGGGGCCUACGGACUAGAGAUGACCUCUGUGAAGCCGGCAACCUGUCAGCCUUUUCUGACAACAUCCAGGAAGUCUGCCUUCCCCUCUCCUCAAGCCCCGCCCCCCACACUCACCAUUUCCAGUGUCCUAGGUGGGUGGCGUCCUUCAAUGGAAGAUGGUCAGAAAACAGCGGACAGAGAGCAGCAAACGCUGACUGCCUUUAGAGAUUCCCAACAACAGAGCCCACUCCUAGAACCUCCCUCCACCUCAGAACUGGAAGACUACUGUGGCAUCAAGAUCCUGCGGGAUUACGUAGCAUUUACACCACCGCAUCUGACUGAACAGCUUGCAUUGCCGUGAGUGUGCACAACGUCUAAAAGACGCAGCCAAUCAGAAUCCUCCAUAGCGCUGACACACGAGUUCAGGUCGUGCCAGAUGGAAAAAAUAAGAGGAGUCAGGUUCAUUUCCAACACUGCGUCCUCUUUGGCUCCAGCCUCCCUGUAGUGGGAGGGAGUUUCUCCUCCCUGGUCCUGCAAACUGCUGGACUCCCUCCCACCUCUUUCUGGAAAAGAUCCUAUUGGGUGUUGCAGGAACCUCCUUCAGGAGAACCAGAUUCUCAAAGGUUUACAUGAAGACACCAUGGAAGAGGGGCAUAAAAGUUCAAGUUCACCCAAAUCUUUGCCGGCAUUUGGAUUUACCAGGUUCAACUUUUUUUUUUUUUACAACACAAUGACAAUAAAUGUUGUCUUACUGUGCUUUUAUUUUGCCUUUCCUGUUUUCUAAUGGAGUCAAGUAUCUUUGAAGAGUUUAGGAUCCAGAGUUGGUGUCCAUGUCCCAUGUUGGAGCACCAGGAGUCCUGGCUGCUCUGUGUCCAAUUCACUCCCUGCUGCUACACCUGGGAAGUGCUGCCAUUUGGGGAGUGAGCCAGUGUAUGGAAGGCCUCUCUCUCUCAUUUCUCAUAGAUAAAUUAACUUUGUUUUUUAAAAAAAAUAAUGGCCCACUGUAGUGCUUCUAUGAAAUACCUCCCUGUAUCUGGUAUGAAUUCUUUUUAAAAUUAAUCUUACUCUUUAUGGACUUUAAAAUGUCUGAGUCCUAAUUUAAUACCUUCAGUUGUAUGGAAGCUACUAUCUUCUUUGUUUGUGCCCUCCCCUUUUCUUGGAGUAUUUGUUGAUGAUCAGAAGCUCUUAAUGUAUUUAUAUUUACACACUGUUUCUUUAACGGUUAGAGCUAUUGAAGCAUACUCUCUGCUGAGGCCACAAAUGUAUUCUACAUCUUCCAAGAGUUUAAGGUUUGCAUUUCAAAUUGAACCUGUCAAACCAGGAAGUAUUGAUUUUAGUAUACAGAGGAAAGCAAAUGCUUCCAUUUAUUCUGUGUGAAUAACAAGUUGUUCUUGGGCCCGGUGCUGUGGUGCAGCAGGUUAACACCCUGGCCUUAAGCACCAGCAUCCCAUAUGGUGCCAG